rnacentral:rRNA from 1 species
AGUGGCGAACGGGUGAGUAAAGUAUCGGAACGUGCCCAGUCGUGGGGGAUAACGUAGCGAAAGUUACGCUAAUACCGCAUACGAUCUAUGGAUGAAAGCGGGGGAUCGCAAGACCUCGUGCGAUUGGAGCGGCCGAUAUCAAAUUAGGUAGUUGGUGGGGUAAAGGCUCACCAAGCCGACGAUCUGUAGCUGGUCUGAGAGGACGACCAGCCACACUGGGACUGAGACACGGCCCACACUCCUACGGGAGGCAGCAGUGGGGAAUUUUGGACAAUGGGCGCAAGCCUGAUCCAGCCAUGCCGCGUGCAGGAUGAAGGCCUUCGGGUUGUAAACUGCUUUUGUACGGAACGAAAAGGUUUGGCCUAAUAAGCUGAGCUCAUGACGGUACCGCAAGAAUAAGCACCGGCUAACUACGUGCCAGCAGCCGCGGUAAUACGUAGGGUGCGAGCGUUAAUCGGAAUUACUGGGCGUAAAGCGUGCGCAGGCGGUUAUGUAAGACAGAUGUGAAAUCCCCGGGCUCAACCUGGGAACUGCAUUAGUGACUGCAUAGCUGGAGUACGGCAGAAGGGGGGAUGGAAUUUCCGCGUGUAGCAGUGAAAUGCGUAGAUAUGCGGAGGAACACCGAAUGGGCGAAGGCAAUCCCCUGCGUCCUGUACUGACGCUCAUGCACGAAAGCGUGGG